rnacentral:misc_RNA from 1 species
UACGGAGGAUCCAAGCGUUAUCCGGAAUCAUUGGGGUUAAAGGGUCCGUAGGCGGGUUAAUAAGUCAGUGGUGAAAGUCUGCAGCUUAACUGUAGAAUUGCCAUUGAUACUGUUGACCUUGAGUAAUUAUGAAGUGGUUAGAAUAUGUAGUGUAGCGGUGAAAUGCAUAGAUAUUACAUAGAAUACCGAUUGCGAAGGCAGAUCACUAAGAAUAUACUGAGGCUGAGGGACUAAAGCGUAGGUAGCGAACAGG